rnacentral:rRNA from 1 species
CCGCGGCCGCAGAGUUUGAUCAUGGCUCAGAUUGAACGCUGGCGGCGUGCCUAACACAUGCAAGUCGAUCGGUAACGCGGGGGCAACCCUGGCGACGAGUGGCGGACGGGUGAGCAAUGCUUGGGAAUCUGCCCAUCAGCGGGGGACAACCCGGGGAAACUCGGGCUAAUACCGCAUACGCUCUACGGAGGAAAGCCGGGGACCGCAAGGCCUGGCACUGACGGAUGAGCCCAAGCCGGAUUAGCUAGUUGGCGGGGUAACGGCCCACCAAGGCGACGAUCCGAAGCUGGUCUGAGAGGACGAUCAGCCACACCGGAACUGAGACACGGUCCGGACUCCUACGGGAGGCAGCAGUGGGGAAUAUUGGACAAUGGGGGAAACCCUGAUCCAGCGACGCCGCGUGGGUGAAGAAGGCCUGCGGGUUGUAAAGCCCUUUCGGUAGGGACGAAAGCUUUCGACCUAACACGUCGGAAGGUUGACUUAACCUACAAAAGAAGCACCGGCUAACUCUGUGCCAGCAGCGCGCGGU